rnacentral:rRNA from 1 species
UCCGUAGGCGGGCAAUUAAGUCAGAGGUGAAAUCCCACAGCUCAACUGUGGAACUGCCUUUGAUACUGGUUGUCUUGAGUUAUAGUGAAGUAGAUAGAAUAUGUAGUGUAGCGGUGAAAUGCAUAGAUAUUACAUAGAAUACCGAUUGCGAAGGCAGUCUACUAACUGUAUACUGACGCUAAUGGACGAAAGCGUGGGGAGCGAACAGGAUUAGAUACCCUGGUAGUAC